rnacentral:lncRNA from 1 species
AGGGGCCAGAGGUAUCCGAGCCCUCGCUCGCAAGCACAUCUAACUGCUCCUGUAAUUACAAAUUCAAAUAAAAUCUUAUAAGAAAUGCUAUAAUACUAAUCAUACUCCAAUUAUUACUUACAAAAAUCCUUUCAAUCGUGAUGUUCAUCGAUCUGCCCUUCGUGUCCAUAUGACUCGAUCGGAAGAUGGCGCUACGGCUGGACAUCAUCUUCUCUCUCGUCAGCUAUAACAAUCAAUCAGCUUGUUAAAAACAUGCAAAAACAACAAUUCAAUAACUUGUA